rnacentral:rRNA from 1 species
GAUGAACGCUGGCGGCGUGCCUAAUACAUGCAAGUCGGGCGAACGGACGAGAAGCUUGCUUCUCUGAUGUUAGCGGCGGACGGGUGAGUAACACGUGGAUAACCUACCUAUAAGACUGGGAUAACUUCGGGAAACCGGAGCUAAUACCGGAUAAUAUUUUGAACCGCAUGGUUCAAAAGUGAAAGACGGUCUUGCUGUCACUUAUAGAUGGAUCCGCGCUGCAUUAGCUAGUUGGUAAGGUAACGGCUUACCAAGGCAACGAUGCAUAGCCGACCUGAGAGGGGGAUCGGCCACACUGGAACUGAGACACGGUCCAGACUCCUACGGGAGGCAGCAGUAGGGAAUCUUCCGCAAAGGGCGAAAGCCUGACGGAGCAACGCCGCGUGAGUGAUGAAGGUCUUCGGAUCGUAAAACUCUGUUAUUAGGGAAGAACAUAUGUGUAAGUAACUGUGCACAUCUUGACGGUACCUAAUCAGAAAGCCACGGCUAACUACGUG